rnacentral:rRNA from 1 species
AGCAGCCGCGGUAAUUCCAGCUCCAAUAGCGUAUAUUAAAGUUGUUGCAGUUAAAAAGCUCGUAGUUGAAUUUCGGAAUCUGUCCAUCGGUCGGGCUUUAUUGUCCGUACUGGUGUGGUGGGUUCUUACCUUCUGAAUAACCAGCAUGCCAUUUAUUUGGUGCGUUUGGGGAAGCAGGGACUAUUACCUUGAAAAAAUUUAGAAGUGCUCAAAGCAGGCUAGUGCCUGAAUACAUUAGCAUGGAAUAAUAAAAUAGGACGGCAUGGUUCUAUUUUGUUGGUUUCUAGGAUCACCGUAAUGAUUAAUAGGGAUAGUUGGGGGCAUUAGUAUUCAAUUGUCAGAGGUGAAAUUCUUGGAUUUAUUGAAGACUAACUUCUGCGAAAGCAUUUGCCAAGGAUGUUUUCAUUAAUCAAGAACGAAAGUUAGGGGAUCGAAGACGAUCAGAUACCGUCGUAGUCUUAACCAUAAACUAUGCCGACUAGGGAUCGGACGAUGUUAAUUUUUAAUGACUCGUUCGGCG